rnacentral:lncRNA from 1 species
UACAAACCUAUAUAUUACGUGCUACUUGCCUAUUUUCUACAAUGUCCACAUGUACAUGUAUCUUUUGCAUGUACUUGAUGGUUCUAUCUGUUAUGUUGCCGUAAAUAGAUGUUCGUACUCAUACUUUUCUUGCUUAAAGAAAUGUUUUCUUCUCAUUUUCCCUUAUUUAUUUGUUUGUUUGCAUAAAUUUGAGAGUAGCACGAUAAGCCUGAAGGAAAAAGGUAGAUUUUCGUAUUUUAAAUGUUAUGGUGAAGACACGUUAAUGGCUAGUGACCCUUCUGCUUGUAUGCUGCCACUGUAUGUUUUGACCGAUCGUUCGCAAAUUGCCGCCCAAGGAGACAAAUUGUCGACAUGCACGGAAUCGGCAGGUUGUGUAUCCCAGAGUACAGAACCUAAUUUCUAACGAAUUAUGAGGUUCCGAUCUUUUAAAUGCAAACAGCUUUACAUUACACAUCUAACGACUGGUAUUCUCUUGUUCCUUACACUAUUUUGGCUGUGGCCCCAAACACAUCCAAUCGAUCUUCAACUCUUACAGAGUAGUGUGCUUCAAUCGAUAGAAACUAGCCUUGAGGAGGUGGAGUUGUUCUUGGGAGCACAAAGUGCAAAAGUGACAUUCAGGGAAGCAAAUAAAGUUGCGAAGCGACAUUUAGGAGAGUCCAGGAAGAGCGAAAAGUGACAUUCGAAUAGCAUAACAAAAAAUGAAAAAAGAGAAACAUUGGAACCAGUAAAGUAAAACGUCGUACAUGCAAAAAAAUUCCCCCCAAAAAAUUAAAAAUUGAGGCAAACCGGAUAAAAAUAUUAUAUUCUCAAGAAUUCAAAGUGUUAAAUUGAAAAAUAAGAUAGAAUUUAAAGGAACACAAGCUAGAGAUAUCAUUCUUUUGAAGUUAAAUCGAGCGAAACGAAAUCUUGAGCAAAAUAAAUGAUACAAAAAAAGAAAC